CUUGCAGCUCACCAGUGUAACUGCACCUGGUAAAUACCUUUCUCUAUGUACAAUACAGAGAUAAUGGAUAUACGAGCUCCACUGAAUCAUCAGCAGGCGACCGAUGACCCCGGGCUUAAGCAACUCUGACGUGAGGCUCCUCUUCUGUCUCCUGCCCCAGGCUGGUGUAUGUUACUGAAGGCUCCAGCUGGCCAGUGGUUGGCAGGUCUACAACAGGUCCUGAAGGGUUUCGAAACUGCUUGUACACCCGAGGAUCUUGGGCUACGUAAGUGGAUGUGGAGGAAUAAAGCACUAGCCCAACGAGGAUGGUGAAGAACGAUAACAAGUAAAGUCCUGAAAACUGAGCAAAAAGAAGAGUACAGCCAUUAGACACAGCACUGCUUGUUCCGAGCUCAUGAAGACACAUGGACAGAGGAAAGCCAUCAGGUCUUCACUUGUCACCUGGUAGUAUGAUUUGAUGGGAGUCAUACCCCUGUAUCAUCAAGAAUGAACUCAAUUAUAAACAUCACAUUCACCGUGAAGUUCAAUGAAGAUCUCUGUGACCCGGUGCAGAAGUUGCCCUGUGGGAUGCACACACUCUCCAGUCAGCAGGAGUACUAGGUAGGGUGAAUGCUCGAGCUAUGUUUCUGUUUGCAUAACUGGAUGUUAUAGAUACAUUAUUUUAUUAAUAGGGAAGCUAGACUAGGUUGGUUGUAGGCUGGGACUAGAACUCAAACUGUUCCUGACUAUUUUGUUCUAGCCUGGGAGGGAGAUGUUUCUGUUCACUCCUAAUGUGAAGGAAGGGUUGCUCUGUUUGGGAUUCCAUAUUUGUCCAGUUCUUUAUCAGGACAAUGAUCUAUUGCUUCAGCCUCAAUUACUGUUCUCUGUCUUUAGAUGUUAGAGAUAAAGACCAAAUCUCUAACUGGUUACUGAUCCCAUGUGAAAGCUAUUGGCAGAAUAACAACCUAGACUUUCGUAGGAGAAAAUUAUUUACUAUGAGGGUGGUGAGGCACUGGAAUGGUCUGCUCAAAGAAGUUCCUAUGUCCCAUCCCUGAAGGUGUUCAAGGCCAAGCUGGAUGAGACACUGGACAGUCUGAUCUAAAGGGUGGUAACCCUGCCCAUGGGAGGGGGUUUGGAACCGACCGGGCUUUAGAGUCCCCUCCAAC